rnacentral:misc_RNA from 1 species
UUGACUCGUUUAAAAUGACUCGGAGAUGCCAACGCGCGAGACAGAGUUGUAGGGCCACCGGCGGGUUGGACGCCCCGGACAGAGUCCGAGGCACCCGCCGAGGCAACGACUUUAGGUAAGUUCACAGUGGUUACGGGAGCCUUGCGAGUCCUGUAAUGAUCCCUCCGCUGGUUCACCAACGGAGA